AUUUUUUCUGGAUCCACCACUGCUUUACUUACAAGAAUGCAAUGUGACUUGUGAUUAUGGUUGAUAAGCUGUUGAGAACAAUUGUAUCAGUACCCAUAUCCAGUGUACCUUAAAUCACCUUUAUAUGAUGAUUUAGUAUAAAAUGGUGGUAAAACAGGGCAAUGUGUUCCAUUGCUUAACAAAUUUUGGAACAAUUUUUCAGUAGUUCAGGCUCUUCAGAAAUAUCAGCAGACUUUUUUGUAUAACUGCUGCACUGGAAAAACAGAAACAAGUGUUUUAAUGAAGCUCCAAUGACAUUUGUAAAACAAUGUAUGAUUUUAAUAUGUGGAGACAGUUAUGAAUUAAUUAGUUACUGACUAUUAAAUUAAUAGACAACUAUUUUGAUCAUUGGAUUGAGUUUUAAAAAAUUCUCAGACUACAGCUUCUUAAAUGUGAAUAUUCUAUAGUGUUUUUCCUCCUCUGUGUCAUUUGAUGCUAUCUUUUGCUUUUUCACAAUUCUCUGAAAUUUUGUAGACCAAGUAAUGAAACAGUUAAUCAAGGAGCUAGUCAACAGAUUAAUGAAAAUAAAUGUUACUUUCAGC